rnacentral:rRNA from 1 species
GACGGACGCUGGCGGCGCGCCUAACACAUGCAAGUCGAACGGAGUUCUUUUGAUGAAGUUUUCGGAUGGAUUCACUUGAACUUGGUGGCGGACGGGUGAGUAACACGUGAGCAACCUGCCUAUCAGAGGGGGAUAACGAUUGGAAACGAUCGCUAAUACCGCAUAACGCAGCGAGGAGACAUCUUCAUGCUGCCAAAGAUUUAUCGCUGAUAGAUGGGUUCGCGUCCGAUUAGAUAGUUGGUGAGGUAACGGCCCACCAAGUCGACGAUCGGUAGCCGGACUGAGAGGUCGAACGGCCACAUUGGGACUGAGACACGGCCCAGACUCCUACGGGAGGCAGCAGUGGGGGAUAUUGCACAAAUGGGGAAACCCUGAUGCAGCGACGCCGCGUGAGGGAAGACGGUCCUCUGGAUUGUAAACCUCUGUCUUCGGGGACGAAACGAGACGGUACCCGAGGAGGAAGCCACGGCUAAACUAACGUGCCAGCCGCCGCCGU